UGUCAAAGUGUUGAGUUCAGCCCUGCUGCUCGGUGCAGGUCUGAUAAUUAAACUUUGAAACAGAAACUGGCAGCAGAGAUGCAGGUGACAUGUGUACAUCUGAAGCCUCAGUGCUGCUCACAUCA
ensembl:snoRNA small nucleolar RNA SNORA36 family